CCCAUUGGCCGCCGUUUCCGGAAGCCCGCCCUCCCAUUUCCGGAAGCCUGGCGCAAGGUUGGUCUGCAGGUGGCCUCCAGGUGCAAAGUGGGAAGUGUGAGUCCUCAGUCUUGGGCUAUUCGGCCACGUGCCUGCCGGACAUGGGACGCUGGAGGGUCAGCAGCGUGGAGUCCUGGCCUUUUGCGUCCACGGGUGGGAAAUUGGCCAUUGCCACGGCGGGAACUGGGACUCAGGCUGCCCCCCGGCCGUUUCUCAUCCGUCCACCGGACUCGUGGGCGCUCGCACUGGCGCUGAUGUAGUUUCCUGACCUCUGACCCGUAUUGUCUCCAGAUUAAAGGUACGACAUUUGGAGGCCCCAGCGAGAAACGUCACCGGGAGAAACGUCACCGGGCGAGAGCCGGGCCCGCUGUGUGCUCCCCCGGAAGGACAGCCAGCUUGUAGGGGGGAGUGCCACCUGAAAAAAAAAUUUCCAGGUCCCCAAAGGGUGACCGUCUUCCGGAGGACAGCGGAUCGACUACCAUGUGGGUGCCCACAAAAAUUCCACCUCUGAGUCCUCAACUGCUGACCCCGGGGUCAGUAGACACGGGGUUUCACCAUGUUGGCCAGGCCGGUCUUGAACUUGUGACGUCAGGUGAUGCACCCGCCUUGGCCUCCCAAAGUGCUGGGAUUACAGGUCCAGAUUUUGAACAAAUCUCGCUAGAGAUUGAACAGAGCUGCGCCUGGAUCCCGCCACAGUGAGGAGACCUGAAGACCAGAGAAAACACAGCAAGCCCCUGGAUCCUCCUGGAAUCCCCGAUCCCUCUUGCUCCCUGGCAGAGUUUUCUAGUCCCUCUUACUUGAAGCAUGUCUUUCAGAGCCCGGCACCACCCAUCUUGAGUAUCUGGUGGAUUUUCACAUCUCAAGCCAGCUAAGAGUAUGGGAAAUAGGACUCGUUAAAGCACAGAUAUCACACAAGUGAUUCAGAUUCACGAGGGUAAUCCAGAUGAAGGUAUAUCAUUGUACCUGGCCCGCAUCACUCAGUAACUGUCACCUUUGAUUUAUUGAUUUACUUGAGAUGGAGUUUGGUUCUGUCCCCGAGGCCGGAGUGCAAUGGCGUGAUCUCUGCUCACUACAACCUCUGCCUCCCAGGUUCAGAGUGAUUCUCCUGCCUCAGCCUCUUUAGCUGGGAUUACAGGCACCCACCAACAUGCCCAGCUAAUUUUUGUAUUUUUAGUAGAGAGGAGCUUUCACCAUAAUGGCCAGGCUGGUCUUGAACCUCAAAUGAUCUGCCCACCUUGGCCUCCCAAAGUGCUAGGAUUACAGGCUGGAGCUACAGAGCCCAGCCUGUCACCUUGAUUUAAAUGAAUGCAGCUUUCUUGGUGUCUUGAUGUUUGUGAAUUUCUGUGGAGUUUGAUACUGCUCCUUUUGCUGCUUGUUUUUCCAGAGUCCCCUUAUCACUUGACGUGCUGUUAUAUUAUGUUUGAUUUAUUACAGAUACCCCAUCAGCCUGAGUCUCUUAAAGGCCUUUAUACACAUAUGUCUACACAUAGGGAUUUGGAUGAUCUCGGGAUCCCACAUCCUCGCUGUCCCCUGUCCCCCCGCAACAUCCCCCACCAAUACCUUUCUGAAGUUUUCUAGUCCCUCCUUUUUGUUUGUGCUCCUUAAAGCCCAGCCCCAUGCCUGACUUUGGUUCCCAGUGAGCAUUGUACAUUUGUGGAUAUUAAAUCUUUGGCAAAGUCAUUUACCUGGGCUGGAAUAGGGCUCUUGGCUGAUUCUUUUUCCUAAACACCCACCCAAUGGGAGAGGCUGAUACUCAACAUGCAAACCUUGUGUUUUAUUUCUCCAGGCGAAGGGAUGUUGGAAGACAUUCUGGAAGGGGUGGGGUGUGAAGAUUUACAAAUAAUCUUUGAAUAUCUGCUUCAUGAUAGGUCUUGGAGGUGCCUUGUGGGUGUGGCUUUGGGGGGAUGGUUACGAGGAAAUUGUGGAUAUUAAGGAAGUCAGGAAAGGAAAAGAUCAGUCACAAUUCAACAAUUCAGAGAAAGCUCCUAAGGGACUUUCUGGCUGCUUGAUGCCCAGAGGCCAGGCCCUCACUUCGUAUUAAGGCUCAGGACUGUGGAUAGAGAAUUUAAAGGGGCACCAAAAAAAACAUUAAAAUAGAUAAACAUAUUUUUAAUGGAAUACCUUUAAAAAUGCAAAUCAAUGCACAAAGAAAACGCCCA
rnacentral:lncRNA from 1 species